CGGGUGAGUAACACGUGGAUAACUACCUAUAAGACUGGGAUAACUUCGGGAAACCGGAGCUAAUACCGGAUAAUAUAUUGAACCGCAUGGUUCAAUAGUGAAAGACGGUUUUGCUGUCACUUAUAGAUGGAUCCGCGCCGCAUUAGCUAGUUGGUAAGGUAACGGCUUACCAAGGCAACGAUGCGUAGCCGACCUGAGAGGGUGAUCGGCCACACUGGAACUGAGACACGGUCCAGACUCCUACGGGAGGCAGCAGCA
rnacentral:rRNA from 1 species